rnacentral:lncRNA from 1 species
UUUAAAAGGCACAAAAAUCAGCUCAUCUUCCACCCCAUGGCCGGCCAAACCAGCAAGAAGAGAGAGAAAAUAAAAGCAAAACCCUAGAGAGAGAAAAUCAAAGAAAAAGUGUGAAUUUUCAAAGAAAUUAAGUGAAAAAGGUGAGAUUUUUUCUAUUAAGCUUGAGUUUUCUUAUUCCCAAGCAUUUCUCUUUAUUUUCCAUGAUUAAAUUACAUGUUUUCAGGAUGAAUUCAAUUCGAAAAAAUGGGUUAGGAGAGAGAAAGUUGUUUGGAUUUAUUUGAUUUUAAUUUAUGUUAGUGUUUUUAGUUAGUUUAGCAUAUUUAGAAACAAAACAACAAGAAAAGAAUUUAUUUUCUCCCCCAACCAUUAAUGGCUGAAUUUACCAUGUAGUGAGUGAGGAUGAGUUUGAUUUUAUUCUAGGAGAAUUGGUUAAGGAAUAAUGAAUUAUGAGCCUAGAAAAAUAAUGGGAAUUUUCGGAGCAAAAAUACGAAUUUUUACCCACUAGGGGUAUUUUCGUAAUUUGCUGUUGGGACUGAUAAUUUGCACCACACUGAGGGACAUUAAGUUAAUUUGGGUGCAAUUGAGGUAUAGAAACUGAAAAGAAUUAAAUUGGAGUUUAAACGGACCCGUUAGGAAUUUAAUCGGGUGAUAAGACGAAUUAGGCCAAUACCGGGUUUAGAUAGUUACCAGUGCAUUUUUGCAUUCCAUAUCAUGCAUUGGUAGUCUAAAUUAGUUUAAUUUUGAUUUAGUACCAACUUGGUGAAACUCUCGAUUUUGUACUGUGUCAAGGUGGUGAGUCCUCCGAUAAAGGCAAGGAAAUUGCAUCCGAGGACCAGUAGACAGAGUGCUUCGAAAGUCUGCAUUCUAGACAUUGUGAGUAAACUUACUGUCAUUUUAAUUAUCUAGGGUGGUUUUUAGAUGCUUUCAUGAAUUCUAUGGAAAAAGGAAUUUAAAAAGAUAAAUUUUCAUGUUUUAUGAAUAAAUGAGUUUCAAUGAAAUUAAAUUAUAAAUUGUUUUGAAAUUAAUAGUGAUUUUGAAAAAUAGAGUACACGGAGACUGUUAAUUGUGGCAAUUUGAUUGUUUAAAUUAACUGGCUUAUGAUAAAUCGAGCAUGAUUGGCUAGUUGGCAAUUGUAUUGAAAUGCGAAUUGUUUGGUUACCUUGAAAAACUACGAAUUACAAAAUUGCCAUAUCAUGUUAUUGAGUUUUAUUAUAUGGUGGAUUAUAUAUUAAUUAAUCACUGCAGUAGGGGGUUUCUGUGGACCAGCCUUUUAGAGGGGCACGGUAAACCCCAUUAUAUUCUUACCUCGAACGGAGAGGCGCGUAGGGUAUCUCCUGGGGUAAAGUUUAGGGUUCACUUCACGCUAAACCACCACGUGAGGGGGAACUCAGCCAACGCCAAGGAACGGCUAUGUUUUCAAAACAAAAACAUGAUUUAUGUGAAAUGUGAAUUUUAAUAGCCUUGGCGGUCUCGGUAGGAUGCCUCGGCCAAGGUGUCCCCGAGAAUGGAUUUAUGGCACAAGCCUAGAUUUUUAUGAGAUUCAUAAGCCUCUUUACGUGUUUUGAACAAAAUGUGUUCUAAUGCUAUAACCCAGUUUAUGAUGAUUUACUUUAUUGUCUCCAUGUACUCAACUCUAGAUGUUUAUGAUGAUGUUUGUUUACUCAUUGGGAUUUUAUAAUCUCACCACCCUCCUUUCCACCCAUUUCAGGUUCAGUAUAGACUGUAGAUAGCUGAUCUCAUCGAGGACUACAGUGGGAUCUGCAUUUUCCAAACCGUAGGUUCACAGUCCUCUUUACUUUUGUUUAUUCGGGGGCACUCUUGUUAUUGUAAAUUAAAUUAAA